UCCGUAGGCGGGCGAUUAAGUCAGAGGUGAAAUCCCACAGCUCAACUGUGGAACUGCCUUUGAUACUGGUUGUCUUGAGUUACAGUGAAGUAGAUAGAAUAUGUAGUGUAGCGGUGAAAUGCAUAGAUAUUACAUAGAAUACCGAUUGCGAAGGCAGUCUACUAACUGUUAACUGACGCUAAGGGACGAAAGCGUGGGGAGCGAAUAGGAUUAGAUACCCUGGUAGUCC
rnacentral:rRNA from 1 species